rnacentral:rRNA from 1 species
CCCCUAGAUGUUCUGGGCCGCACGCGCGCUACACUGAACAGUUCAACAAGUCUUAACCUUGGCCGAUAGGUCUGGGUAAUCUUUGAACGCUGUUCGUGAUUGGGAUAGACCUUUGCAAUUAUGGGUCUUCAACGAGGAAUUCCUAGUAAACGCAAGUCAUCAGCUUGCAUUGAUUACGUCCCUGCCCUUUGUACACACUGCCCGUCGCACCUACCGAUUGAAUGGUCCGGUGAAAUCUCGGGACGGCGGCUUGGUCGCUUGCGUCCGACUGCUGAAACUUGAUUAAACCAUNUNAUUUAUNGGAAGGUGAANUCGUANCA